CUCUUCUUUUCUCCUCCUUCGUCUAACGCUUUUCAACGGCAUAUCGAGGCAGACUUUUUUCACCCGUCGAUAAAAAAAAAUAUAUCCUCUGGGAACAACAGUCAGCAACGAAAUUCGCUUUUCCCUUAUAGUAUCUAUAAAAUCGGAGGAGCACACGUCUGAGCUUUUAUAAUCACGUUCA